GCCUAAUACAUGCAAGUCGAGCGGACAGAUGGGAGCUUGCUCCCUGAUGUUAGCGGCGGACGGGUGAGUAACACGUGGGUAACCUGCCUGUAAGACUGGGAUAACUCCGGGAAACCGGGGCUAAUACCGGAUGGUUGUCUGAACCGCAUGGUUCAGACAUAAAAGGUGGCUUCGGCUACCACUUACAGAUGGACCCGCGGCGCAUUAGCUAGUUGGUGAGGUAACGGCUCACCAAGGCGACGAUGCGUAGCCGACCUGAGAGGGUGAUCGGCCACACUGGGACUGAGACACGGCCCAGACUCCUACGGGAGGCAGCAGUAGGGAAUCUUCCGCAAUGGACGAAAGUCUGACGGAGCAACGCCGCGUGAGUGAUGAAGGUUUUCGGAUCGUAAAGCUCUGUUGUUAGGGAAGAACAAGUGCCGUUCAAAUAGGGCGGCACCUUGACGGUACCUAACCAGAAAGCCACGGCUAACUACGUGCCAGCAGCCGCGGUAAUACGUAGGUGGCAAGCGUUGUCCGGAAUUAUUGGGCGUAAAGGGCUCGCAAGCGGUUUCUUUAAGUCUGAUGUGAAAAGCCCCCGGCCUCAACCGGGGAGGGUCAUUGGAAACUUGGNGAAACUUUAAUGGCANAAAAAAGNAAAGUNGNAAUUCCCCCGUGUUANCCCC
rnacentral:rRNA from 1 species